rnacentral:rRNA from 1 species
ACUCCUACGGGAGGCAGCAGUGGGGAAUCUUGCGCAAUGGGCGAAAGCCUGACGCAGCCAUGCCGCGUGAAUGAUGAAGGUCUUAGGAUUGUAAAAUUCUUUCACCGGGGACGAUAAUGACGGUACCCGGAGAAGAAGCCCGGCUAACUUCGUGCCAGCAGCCGCGGUAAUACGAAGGGGGCUAGCGUUGCUCGGAAUUACUGGGGCGUAAAGGGAGCGUAGGCGGACUGUUUAGUCAGAGGUGAAAGCCCAGGGGCUCAACCUUGGAAUUGCCUUUGAUACUGGCAGUCUUGAGUACGGAAGAGGUAUGUGGAACUCCGAGUGUAGAGGUGAAAUUCGUAGAUAUUCGGAAGAACACCAGUGGCGAAGGCGACAUACUGGUCCGUUACUGACGCUGAGGCUCGAAAGCGUGGGGAGCAAACAGGAUUAGAUACCCUGGUAGGAUAGCG